rnacentral:rRNA from 1 species
GACGAACGCUGGCGGCGUGCUUAACACAUGCAAGUCGAACGGAAAGGCCCUGCUUUUGUGGGGUGCUCGAGUGGCGAACGGGUGAGUAACACGUGAGUAACCUGCCCUUGACUUUGGGAUAACUUCAGGAAACUGGGGCUAAUACCGGAUAGGAGCUCCUGCUGCAUGGUGGGGGUUGGAAAGUUUCGGCGGUUGGGGAUGGACUCGCGGCUUAUCAGCUUGUUGGUGGGGUAGUGGCUUACCAAGGCUUUGACGGGUAGCCGGCCUGAGAGGGUGACCGGCCACAUUGGGACUGAGAUACGGCCCAGACGCCUACGGGAGGCAACAGUGGGGAAUAUUGCACAAUGGGCGGAAGCCUGAUGCAGCAACGCCGCGUGCGGGAUGACGGCCUUCGGGUUGUAAACCGCUUUCGCCUGUGACGAAGCGUGAGUGACGGUAAUGGGUAAAGAAGCACCGGCUAACUACGUG